UGGGGCCAUAGCUCAGCUGGGAGAGCACCUGCUUUGCACGCAGGGGGUCAGCGGUUCGAUCCCGCUUGGCUCCACCAA
rnacentral:tRNA from 1 species